GACGAACGCUGACGGCGCGCCUAACACAUGCAAGUCGAACGGAGCUGAGAGAAGCUUGCUUUUCUUAGCUUAGUGGCGAACGGGUGAGUAACGCGUGAGUAACCUGCCCUGGAGUGGGGGACAACAGUUGGAAACGACUGCUAAUACCGCAUAAGCCCACGAUCCGGCAUCGGAUUGAGGGAAAAGGAUUUAUUCGCUUCAGGAUGGACUCGCGUCCAAUUAGCUAGUUGGUGAGGUAACGGCCCACCAAGGCGACGAUUGGUAGCCGGACUGAGAGGUUGAACGGCCACAUUGGGACUGAGACACGGCCCAGACUCCUACGGGAGGCAGCAGUGGGGGAUAUUGCACAAUGGGGGAAACCCUGAUGCAGCGACGCCGCGUGGAGGAAGAAGGUUUUCGGAUUGUAAACUCCUGUCGUUAGGGACGAUAAUGACGGUACCUAACAAGAAAGCACCGGCUAACUACGUG
rnacentral:rRNA from 1 species